GACGAACGCUGGCGGCGUGCCUAAUACAUGCAAGUUGAGCGCUGAAGGUUGGUACUUGUACCGACUGGAUGAGCAGCGAACGGGUGAGUAACGCGUGGGGAAUCUGCCUUUGAGCGGGGACAACAUUUGGAAACGAAUGCUAAUACCGCAUAAAAACUUUAAACACAAGUUUUAAGUUUGAAAGAUGCAAUUGCAUCACUCAAAGAUGAUCCCGCGUUGUAUUAGCUAGUUGGUGAGGUAAAGGCUCACCAAGGCGAUGAUACAUAGCCGACCUGAGAGGGUGAUCGGCCACAUUGGGACUGAGACACGGCCCAAACUCCUACGGGAGGCAGCAGUAGGGAAUCUUCGGCAAUGGACGAAAGUCUGACCGAGCAACGCCGCGUGAGUGAAGAAGGUUGUCGGAUCGUAAAACUCGGUUGGUAGAGAAGAACGUUGGUGAGAGUGGAAAGCUCAUCAAGUGACGGUAACUACCCAGAAAGGGACGGCUAACUACGUG
rnacentral:rRNA from 1 species